rnacentral:rRNA from 1 species
UACGUAGGGCGCAAGCGUUGUCCGGAAUUAUUGGGCGUAAAGAGCUCGUAGGCGGCUUGUCACGUCGGGUGUGAAAGCCCGGGGCUUAACCCCGGGUCUGCAGUCGAUACGGGCAGGCUAGAGUUCGGUAGGGGAGACUGGAAUUCCUGGUGUAGCGGUGAAAUGCGCAGAUAUCAGGAGGAACACCGGUGGCGAAGGCGGGUCUCUGGGCCGAUACUGACGCUGAGGAGCGAAAGCGUGGGGAGCGAACAGG